ACUUUGAUUCUGGCUCGGGACGAACGCUGGCGGCGCGCCUAACACAUGCAAGUCGAGCGGGAAGCUUUUUAAGGAUUCUUCGGAUGAAUUAAAAAGUGGAGAGCGGCGGACGGGUGAGUAACGCGUGAGAAACCUGCCCUAUACAGGGGGAUAGCCAUUGGAAACGAUGAUUAAUACCCCAUAUGACCACAGUAUCGCAUGAUACAGCGGUGAAAACUCCGGUGGUAUAGGAUGGUCUCGCGUCUGAUUAGCUAGUUGGUGGGGUAACUGCCUACCAAGGCGACGAUCAGUAGCCGGCCUGAGAGGGUGACCGGCCACACUGGAACUGAGACACGGUCCAGACUCCUACGGGAGGCAGCAGUGGGGAAUAUUGCACAAUGGGCGAAAGCCUGAUGCAGCGACGCCGCGUGAACGAUGAAGGCUUUCGAGUCGUAAAGUUCUGUUCUUGGGGAAGAUAACGACGGUACCCAAGGAGAAAGCACCGGCUAAAUACGUGCCAGCAGCCGCGGUA
rnacentral:rRNA from 1 species